CCUUUGAGAAUCUCGGGUUUGGCAUUUGGGCCUGGCAAUCGAGAGUUCAAUAGAACUGCGCGAUGACCAGGCUGUAAAGCC
rnacentral:sRNA from 1 species